UACGGAGGGUGCAAGCGUUAUCCGGAUUCACUGGGUUUAAAGGGUGCGUAGGCGGGUACUUAAGUCAGUGGUGAAAUCUUAGGGCUCAACCCUGAAAUUGCCAUUGAUACUAUUUACCUUGAAUGUCGAAGAGGUUAGCGGAAUAGGACAUGUAGCGGUGAAAUGCAUAGAUAUGUCCUAGAACACCGAUUGCGAAGGCAGCUAACUGGCCGAUAAUUGACGCUGAUGCACGAAAGCGUGGGUAGCGAAC
rnacentral:rRNA from 1 species